rnacentral:sRNA from 1 species
UUGAGUUGAGUUGAGU